GGAAGAAAAAGAAUAAGGAAGCAGAAUUCAAUAAAGAAAAAAGCAGAACAACAGUUCAACGACCAGCAUCUGUCUCUCAAACUGUAUCUCAAACUUUUAUAGACAGUCUUCCUUCACCAGUGAUGCCACAAAUGAUGAUCUAUGCUACCUACUUCCUACUACAGCUGUCAGAAAAGAAGAUUUCUUUACUUGGACAAAUGGCUGAUUCCUCAGAGAAGUUGCGACACUAUGGACUUUCUCAUGCACAUAGCCAUCCAGUGUUGGUUACAAGGACUAGGUCCUGUCCCC